CCAGUGGUGGUUUAGUGGUAGAAUUCUCACCUUCCAUGCCAGAGACCUGGGUUCAAUUCCUGCCCAAUGUA
rnacentral:tRNA from 1 species